rnacentral:rRNA from 1 species
CGCAUCUGUGCAUGCAGCAUAUCAAUAAGCGGAGGAAAAGAAACUAACAAGGACUCCCUUAGUAACGGCGAGUGAAGCGGGAAGAGCUCAAAUUUGAAAUCUUCAAGGUUUUACCUUGACGAAUUGUAGUUUAAAGAAGUGUUUUCUGUUGAAGUUUUGGUAAAAGUUCUUUGGAAUAGGACAUCAUAGAGGGUGAGAAUCCCGUAUUUGACCAUUAUUUUCAGCUGUGUGAUACACUUUCAAAGAGUCGGAUUGUUUGGGAAUGCAGUCCAAAAUGGGUGGUAAAUUUCAUCUAAAGCUAAAUAUUGGCGAGAGACCGAUAGCGAACAAGUACCGUGAGGGAAAGAUGAAAAGAACUUUGAAAAGAGAGUUAAACAGUACGUGAAAUUGUCAAAAGGGAAGCGUUUGACACCAGUGUUGUUUUCUCGAAAAUCAAUUAAAAAGAGUUAGAUUUUGUUGUGUAUUGACCUUAACAGCUUGCAUUUCAAUUUUCUUGCUUUUUUUAAUGCACUUUUCGUUUAACAAGUCAACAUCAGUUUCUUUUGUUGUAAAAAGGUCAUUGGAAGGUGGCUUUCUUUUCGGAGAAAGUGUUUAUAGCCUUUGACUCCUGCAAUCGGAGAGACUGAGGUCUGCAGCGUAGAUCCUUCGGGGUUAGAUACAUUUGUGCUAAGUUAUAGCUUUUUAUAGACAACUUGUUGACUAUGAUUAGUCUUGUAGCUUACUCGCUUAUGCUAUUUUACCUACGCUUAGGAUGUUGACACACGCGCGUGCUCG